GACGAACGCUGGCGGCGUGCUUAACACAUGCAAGUCGAACGGAAAGGCCCUGCUUUUGUGGGGUGCUCGAGUGGCGAACGGGUGAGUAACACGUGAGUAACCUGCCCUUGACUGUGGGAUAACUUCAGGAAACUGGGGCUAAUACCGGAUAGGAGCUCCUGCUGCAUGGUGGGGGUUGGAAAGUUUCGGCGGGGGGGGAUGGACUCGCGGCUUAUCAGCUGGUUGGUGGGGUAGUGGCUUACCAAGGCAUUGACGGGUAGCCGGCCGGAGGGGGGGACCGGCCACAUCGGGACUGCGGUCCGGCCCAGACUCCUCCGGGGGGCAGCAGUGGGGAAUAUUGCACAAUGGGCGGAGGCCUGAUGCAGCAACGCCGCGUGCGGGAUGACGGCCUUCGGGUUGUAAACCGCUUUCGCCUGUGACGAAGCGUGAGUGACGGUAAUGGGUAAAGAAGCACCGGCUAACUACGUG
rnacentral:rRNA from 1 species